UCAGGCUGUGAGACUCAAAAUGGGGGCGCUUGCCGUGUUCGUGACAGGAAAGUGCUUUCAUUUUGUGUGUCCCCGUUUGA
rnacentral:pre_miRNA from 1 species